UGGGGAAUCUUGGACAAUGGGCGCAAGCCUGAUCCAGCCAUGCCGCGUGGAUGAUGAAGGCCUUAGGGUUGUAAAAUCCUUUCGUGGGGGACGAUAAUGACGGUACCCCAAGAAGAAGCUCCGGCUAACUUCGUGCCAGCAGCCGCGGUAAUACGAAGGGGGCUAGCGUUGUUCGGAUUUACUGGGCGUAAAGCGCGUGUAGGCGGGUCGUUAAGUUGGGGGUGAAAUCCCGAGGCUCAACCUCGGAACUGCCUUCAAAACUGGCGACCUGGACCCAAGUAGAGGCAAGUGGAAUUGCGAGUGUAGAGGUGAAAUUCGUAGAUAUUCGCAGGAACACCAGUGGCGAAGGCGACUUGCUGGACUUGUGGUGACGCUGAGACGCGAAAGCGUGGGGAGCAAACAGGAUUAGAUACCCCCGUAGUCCCUGAGCGGGCUGGCAAGGCGCAU
rnacentral:rRNA from 1 species